rnacentral:rRNA from 1 species
GACGAACGCUGGCGGCGUGCUUAACACAUGCAAGUCGAACGAAGAGCGAUGGAAGCUUGCUUCUCUCCAUCUUAGUGGCACACGCGUGAGUAACGCGUAAUCAACCCUCCCUUCAGAGGGGGACCACAGUUGGCAACGACUGCUAAUACCACAUACGAUCUAACCCCGGCAUCGGGGAAAGAAGUAAGGUGGCCUCUAUGUAUAAGCUAUCACUCCCGGCAGGGAUUGCGUCCGAUCAGCUAGUAGCAGGGGUAACGUCCUGCCAAGGCGAUGAUCCGUAGUCGUCCUGAGAUGAUAACCACCCACAUCGCGACUGCGACUCGGCUCAGACUUCUACGGGAGGCAGCAGUCGCGAUUUUUCCGGCAUGGACGAAAGUCUGACGCAGCAACGCCGCGUUAGUGCUGACGGCGUCCGGGUUGUAAAGCUCUGUUAUUCGCGACGAAAGGCCUUCUUGCGAAUAGUGAGACGGAUUGACGGUCCCGGACAAGAAAGCCACGGCUAACUCCGUG